CAGUAGCCGCGGUAAUACGUAGGGUGCAAGCGUUAAUCGGAAUUACUGGGCGUAAAGCGUGCGCAGGCGGUUAUAUAAGACAGAUGUGAAAUCCCCGGGCUCAACCUGGGAACUGCAUUUGUGACUGUAUAGCUAGAGUACGGCAGAGGGGGAUGGAAUUCCGCGUGUAGCAGUGAAAUGCGUAGAUAUGCGGAGGAACACCGAUGGCGAAGGCAAUCUCCUGGGCCUGUACUGACGCUCAUGCACGAAAGCGUGGGGAGCAAACAGGAUUAGAUACCCCAGUAGUCCCUGUCUCUUAUAC
rnacentral:rRNA from 1 species